rnacentral:miRNA from 2 species
UGAGAUAUUCACGUUGUCUAA